rnacentral:rRNA from 1 species
CAUGAUGGCCUGUACCCGAAACCGACACAGGUGGGGUGGUAGAGAAUACCGAGGGGCGCGAGGUAACUCUCUCUAAGGAACUCGGCAAAAUGGCCCCGUAACUUCGGGAGAAGGGGUGCCACCGCAAGGUGGUCGCAGUGAAGAGGCCCAGGCGACUGUUUACCAAAAACACAGGUCUCCGCUAAGUCGCAAGACGAUGUAUGGGGGCUGACGCCUGCCCAGUGCCGGAAGGUUAAGGAAGCUGGUCAGCGCAAGCGAAGCUGGCGACUGAAGCCCCGGUGAACGGCGGCCGUAACAAUAACGGUCCUAAGGUAGCGAAAUUCCUUGUCGGGUAAGUUCCGACCCGCACGAAAGGCGUAACGAUCUGGGCGCUGUCUCGGAGAGAGGCUCGGCGAAAUAGAAUUGUCUGUGAAGAUGCGGACUACGUGCACCCGGACAGAAAGACCCUAUGAAGCUUUACUGUAGCUUGGUAUUGUGCCCGGGCUCUGAAUGCGCAGGAUAGGUGGGAGGCUUUGAUCCAUGGCUUGCGGGUCAUGGUGAGCCAACGGUGAGAUACCACUCUUUCAGAGCUAGGGUUCUAACGGUCACCCGUCAUCCGGGGACCGGACAGUAUCAGGUGGGCAGUUUAACUGGGGCGGUCGCCUCCUAAAAGGUAACGGAGGCGCGCAAAGGUUUGCUCAGGCUGGUUGGAAAUCAGCCGACGAGUGCAAAAGCAGAAGCAAGCUUGACUGUGAGACCUACAAGUCGAACAGGGACGAAAGUCGGCUUUAGUGAUCCGACGGUUCUGAGUGGAAGGGCCGUCGCUCAACGGAUAAAAGUUACUCUAAGGAUAACAGGCUGAUCUCCCCCAAGAGUUCACAUCAACGGGGAGGUUUGGCACCUCGAUGUCGGCUCAUCGCAACCUGGGGCUGAAGUCGGUCCCAAGGGUUGGGCUGUUCGCCCAUUAAAGCGGUACGCGAGCUGGGUUCAGAACGUCGUGAGACAGUUCGGUCCAUAUCCGGUGCACGCGCAGGAACAUUGAGAGGAUUUCUCCUAGUACGAGAGGACCGGGAGGAACGCACCUCUGGUGUGCCAGUUAUCGUGCCAACGGUAAACGCUGGGUAGCCAUGUGCGGAGUGGAUAACCGCUGAAAGCAUCUAAGUGGGAAGCCCACCUCAAGAUGAGUGUUCCCAUGGCAUAAGCCAGUAAGGUCACGGGAAGAACACCCGUUGAUAGGCUCUACGUGGAAGCCGGGUAACCGGUGAAGCGGAGGAGUACUAAUAGACCGAGGGCUUGAU